rnacentral:tRNA from 1 species
GCCGGAGUGGCGGAAUCGGCAGACGCGGCGGACUUAAAAUCCGCUGGGCUAGCCCGUGUGGGUUCGACCCCCACCUCCGGCACCA